CCGGCGCCACCGCCUGCCGCGUCUCUCCGCGGCCCCUCGGAACGUGGGAAGGGGGCAGCGGCCGCGGCGUGGCUUGGAUUCCCGCGGGCUCGGGCAGGACGGGGGGCGGCGAGAGGGGUCGCCAACUUCUCCCCUGCCUACGGGCCUGCCCAGAGAGGAAAGAGCUUCGCUUGGUGGAGCGAGAAAGCGGAGCCUGGCGAGCGUCCCUCCGCGCCGGCGGGGCUCGCUCUCCUCCAGCUGCGAUCACUGGGGCGUCGGCUGCCUGCGCUGGGCCAGAGCCCGGAGCCCGGCAGCGGAGACAAGACAAGGCGCCGCCAGCUGCGACGAAGCGCGCAUCCUUGCCAAGCGCGGCGGCGGCUCUCCGGCUUUCCUUUCGCCCCGCACCGUCGGCGGAAUCCCUCGCAGCUGGGAAGCCCAAGCGCCCUUCCCGGGAUCCGGCAGAAGCUCAGCUAGCAAGAGGAGCCGCGCUCCGGCUGCCUACAUCUCCCCGCAUCCGUCAGCCCAGGAGCAGCUCCAACCCGCGGCUGGUCGUCGCCGCUGCCGAGGCUGCGUGGCCCGCGCAACUGGCGGCUCGGUUCCCCCUCUCGGCUCGAGCGCGCAGGCACAGCCUCUCGCAAGCGGCCGAUGACAUCAGCCCGAAAGGCCGCCGCUGCUUUGCCGGGAUGCGGGCGCGGAGGCUCCCCGUGGCGGGUGGAGGGAGCUGUCGGUGCGGCUUGCAGCCUCGCUGAACCUCGGCGAAGAAAGGCAGGUGCGCGCCGAGGUCUUCUGCUGGUGCCUCUUGCGAGCAGACGCUCUCGACCGCCCUCGUCCCUCCCCCUCUGUCCCCCUAGGCGCCUUUACUCGGGAGUAAGCCCGGCUGACUGUAGAGAGGCAACCGUGUUUCGAACGGUCUGUCGUAAGUAGGACUGGCUCUCCACCGAGAAGAAGUAGUGGCCAUGUCGAAAGGGCAAAGGGCUGCUGGCUUUCAGGGGAAAAGUUUGUUACCUUGAGGUCAAAGUGGUGGAUCUGCAAAAGGUAGCAGAAGCAGAGAGCGCGGUCGAGGAGGCCGCCAGGGAUUUCAUAGCAGUGCCACACUCCGGGGAGAAGGAUGGUCUUGGGGAAGGAGAGCGUCCCCUUGAGGAAUAAAGAAGCAUUACCUUAGAAGGGGCCCAUCCUUUGCUGGAGAGUUUUGCCCUUGCCUUGUGCUCAGGCUGGCCAGUGUGAGUAGAGGAUACUGGACUGGAUGGGCCAUGGGCAUGAUCCAGAAGAGCUCUUCUGAUGUUCUUGUCUGGUUCUUAUGUUCUUGUGGUUGCAUCACCCUGCUUUAUUAUCUGAGGGAGUGGUGGGGCAGGACGUCACCUGGAAAAGGGGGGGGGAGGAGUUGCCUUAGACCAGGUCAGACUGCUUGCCCCUUUCAGCUCAACUAAACUGGGUGCUCCAACCGAUAGCAUCUGGAGAGCCCAUGGGAUUUGCGGCCCUGGCCAACUCCCAGUAGGCCACUCUGUCAUUGGACAACUACAGAAUCACAGAAUUGUAUAGUUGAAAGAGUCCACAAGGGUCACCCAGCCCAGCCCCCUGCAAUGCAGGAAUCAUUUGCCAGUAUGGGACUCAAACUCACAACUCUGAGAUUAAGAGUCUUAUGCUCUACUAACUGAGUUAUCCCAGCUAUCAGCUCCCAUCAUCAUCCACAUUGGCCAGUGAUUGAUGGAAGAUGGAGUGUGCAAUGUUGGUGAUGACAAGCAAAGGUGGAACAGGGGAGCCUGGGGCCUUCAGUUCCCAUCAUGCUUCCCCUUGGCCAGGCUGGUUGGGGCUGGCAGGUGAAGGAGGCUGAUCUCAGCUGGAGAGCCAGAAGUUCGCAAUCCCCAGCAUCAUGUCUGGUGACACCUUGAAGGCUUAACACACUUAUCAUGGCACAAACCUGCAUGGACUACUGUGCACUUCAUCAGAGGAACUCAAGAGCGGUGGCUGCUUCACCCAUGAUAUACCACCAGGUGAAAGAGCCAUCGUACUAUGGCCCUCAUACCGGUCCUGACAGAUGUAUUGAUACAUUGCCCAGGCCUAGUCAGGAUGAUUAGUUGAUGAUUGAAGGGUGGCUCAUUUGUGGAGACCUGCUUUGCAUGCAGACGUUUCCAGGUUCAGUGUCCCACAUAUCCAGUUAAAAAUAUUGUGAAGCAAGUGACAGGAAAGAGAUCCUACAAUCCAGGAACAAUGGGAGUCAGAGCCCAGCAACAUUUGGAGAGUCACACAUUCCCUACUCCUGGAGUAUUCAUAGGAGCACAGGGGACCUUCUGUCCACUAAGUCAGUUCAUUGGUCCAUGCUGCUCUGUAUUGCCCACAAUGAGCAGGUCUCCAGGGUUUCCGGCAGGGGCCAGAGAUGGAACCUGGGGCCUUCUGCAUGCAAACCAGGGGCUCCAUCACUGAGCUAUGGCUCUUCUCAAGGUAGCAAUAUCAAAAGCAACAUGAUGGCCAGAAAUAAUUGCAAUGUGAAAAACUUUAUGGAAUAAUUCAAAACAUCAAAACUAACAAACUGAAGUCUCUGAAAGUCUCUGACUCAUAUUUUGCAACACAGGGGUUUGUUUAUUUACUCAUUGUCUUCCCAAGGUAGACAGGAGAGUGCUAGUUGAACAAAUACACUCACAGGGUUCAAGACAGCUUCUGGCACAAUACUUUAGCUUGGUCAGUGACAUGCUACUUUUCCAGCUGCGCAGAACUCAAGGGGCCCAUUCAGGCACACAAACCACUCCUCACUUUCAGCUCCCUUUGUUGUUGUUUAGUCGUUUAGUCGUGUCCGACUCUUCGUGACCCCAUGGACCAGAGCACGCCAGGCACUUCUGUCCUCCACUGCCUCCCGCAGUUUGAUCAAACAGCUCCCUUUAGCCAUGGGGAAAUCAAUGGGCGCUAGCAUGGCCAUGCCUCCUUCUGCCCAAUUAGGUGCCACUUGAGCAACCCAUUCACGGACACUGCAUACUCAUGCCAACGCGUUUGACCUUCUGAAUGCCACAACGCUGCCCUCGCUCUCACACAGGCAGAUGAAAGGGAAUGCUGACAUGUGCAAAGUGGUGGGCAUUGGGAAAAUAACCCUAAUUACACUUACAGAGCGCUGGACUCUGAACUAGCUAUUAUCACUCAAGAAAGAUGUCUGGGAGUAAUUGCAGAUGGCUCCCUGCAAACAACACAAUAUGUUUCAGCCUCAGGGAAGAAGAGCAGUAAGAACACUCAGAGAUAUUAGGGGAAGGAGAAAGAAAGCAAUCUGGGCCACAGGGAGGGGAAAUUGCAUCUGUUUUUAGCUUGAUGAUGCGUUCACACCCUGAACACUGGAUGCAAUGGAAGGAUCUCUGACUUGCUCCACUCAAAGAAAGGUUAGGGACACUGUGGCUCCCUCCGGAUCCAAGGAGGUGCUUCUGCACAUAGCGCAUAGUAAACGAUGGAACUCCCUCCCACAGGGAUGGCUUUCAAAAAGGAUUGGACAAAUUCGUGGAGGAGAAGGCUAUCAAAAGCUACUUCCCAUGAUGCCUGUGCUCUGCCUCCAUGGUCGGAGGCAGUGCUUCUGAAUCCCAGUUGCUGGAACCCAUGGGCUGGAGGAGUGCUCUUGUGCUUAAAUCCUGCUUGUGGGAUUCCCAGAGGCAUCUAUCUGGCCACUGUGAGAACAGGAUGCUGAACCAGAUGGGCUACUGGCCUGGUCUGGUGGGCUCUUAUUGUGCUAUUUCUCAUACUUGGGUUUGUGUCUGUGUGAGUCUUGUCAGGGUGGGGGCGGGGGCAAUUUGGAUCAGGAUCACGGAAAGGGCAUAGGCUUAACGUCCCACCGCCAUGCCAUGAUCCUGAUCCAACUUGCUCCCCACGUAACAGCCAUUGGUUUAAAAAAGUGAGCCACACAAGGCCAAACCAUGUGACAAGGUGAAUUGGGGGGGGGGUGUCAGAGCCCAAACCUGUUUUCACUGUAACUCUUGUAUUGAACUUUAUAUAUUUAUUUCAUAACAUUUAUAUAUUGCUUGAUUGCAAAAGAAACCCUCAAAGCAGUUUACCAGAAUAAUAAAAUGAUAAAAUUAAUGGUAAAAAUACUUAGGAAGAAUAAUUUAAAACAUUUUUUAAAAAAAAAAUAAGAAUAAGCCCACACUAGAUGAAAAACAUAUUUAGAUUGUUCUUUUGUUCUUGUAAUCACUAUGCUUGUAACUCUGCCAUACUUUCUAAGUUGCUCACAGUGUGUUUGAUUUGGGUGACUAACAAAUCAACUAAUGAAUGAAUGAAUGAAUGAAUGAAUUGGCCCUGAGUCAAUAGAAUCCAAGCAUCACUUAACAAAACCAGUGCUGGGGUUUCUGGGAUGGAUUCCUGUGAUGAAGGCCCAUCACAACAUCUAUUGUGGCUGGUUGGUGGGAAACCUUUUUCUUUUUUUAAAAAAAUGAUAUUUAUUGAGAAUUUUAAAGUUAC
rnacentral:lncRNA from 1 species